AAUAUUACCAAUUAUAUUGCUCCAUACCUUCUCAAGUUCUCGCCUACGACAAUGAUUGUUCUAACGUAGAGGAACAAUGGCCGCAGUAUUAAUAGAUAAAAUAUGUUCAUAUAUUUUUAAACGUGCAGAUUAACUGUGAAUCAUUUUCUCGCAGUAGGCGAUUAUUUUGAAUUCGUUAAAACUAUAAUAAUUUGCGGUACAUAAAUAUAACACUAUCUCUUCAAUGGGCAACAUCAAAUUAUAUGUUUAUCGAAAUAACGCAAAGGUACGUGAAACGUUAAACACAACAAUCGCGAGGUUAGUUUUACGCACACCCUUCACCAAGUUUCACCGUUUUUCCAUACAAUG